rnacentral:rRNA from 1 species
UACAGAGGGUGCAAGCGUUGUUCGGAAUUAUUGGGCGUAAAGGGCGCGUAGGCGGUGCGGUAAGUCACCUGUGAAACCUCUGGGCUUAACUCAGAGCCUGCAGGCGAAACUGCCGUGCUUGAGUGUGGGAGAGGUGAGUGGAAUUCCCAGUGUAGCGGUGAAAUGCGUAGAUAUUGGGAGGAACACCAGUGGCGAAGGCGGCUCACUGGACCGGAACUGACGCUGAGGCGCGAAAGCGUGGGGAGCAAACAGG